AGAAUCAACGCUGGCGGCGUGCCUAACACAUGCAAGUCGAACGAGAAAGUGGAGCAAUCCACAAGUAAAGUGGCGCACGGGUGAGUAACACGUGACUAACCUACCCUUGAGUGGGGGAUAACCUAGAGAAUCUGGGCUAAUACCGCAUAAUACCUUCGGGUCAAAGGAGCAAUUCGCUUAAGGAGGGGGUCGCGGCCGAUUAGUUAGUUGGCGGGGUAAUGGCCCACCAAGACUAUGAUCGGUA
rnacentral:rRNA from 1 species